GUGGCUGUUGAAGCUGGUAAGAAGUUCUACACAGUUAAAGAGGGAGGAGAUUGUUACUAUAAAUGUUGAGAUUAACGUUGUACCAACACCAGCUGCGGAUAAGAUUACCUGGGUUAAAGUGCCCAACAAGAAGUUGAACGGAGACAGAUACUCGCUGAGCGAGGACAAGACAUCACUAACUAUCACGGGAGUUACUGCCAAGGAGGCUGGAACAUACAGAGUGUCGGUGAAGUUCGAAGUGGGUGGUAAGAAGUUCAACAAAUCCUCAGAACGUUAUUGUUCAACUAGAAGAAGAGGAGGAGGAGGAAGAAUCCGGCCUUGUCAUGUAAACAUUUUUAUGGACAUUUCUGAACAUUUGACACAUUUGGCAGGAGAUUUAAACACUGUUUUUAAAAUAUCAUAUUUAGAUACAUAUGCAAUUGAACUUUUAGAUUAUUUUUAGACAAGCAUUUACAUAAAUUUAUUUUCGUUGUGUUAAGAUCAAUUCUCACUCAUUUUCAAAAGCAAUUC